rnacentral:rRNA from 1 species
AGCAGUAGCCGCGGGAAUACGGAGGGUGCGAGCGUUAAUCGGAUUUACUGGGCGUAAAGCGUGCGUAGGCGGCUUCUUAAGUCGGAUGUGAAAUCCCUGAGCUUAACUUAGGAAUUGCAUUCGAUACUGGGAAGCUAGAGUAUGGGAGAGGAUGGUAGAAUUCCAGGUGUAGCGGUGAAAUGCGUAGAGAUCUGGAGGAAUACCGAUGGCGAAGGCAGCCAUCUGGCCUAAUACUGACGCUGAGGUACGAAAGCAUGGGGAGCAAACAGGAUUAGAUACCCGUGUAGUCCCUGUCUCUUAUAA